GACGAACGCUGGCGGCGUGCUUAACACAUGCAAGUCGAACGAAGUGGCGAACGGGUGAGUAACGCGUAAUCAACCUGCCCUUCAGAGGGGGACAACAGUUGGAAACGACUGCUAAUACCGCAUACUGAAGGAGGGGAUUGCGUCGGAUUAGCUAGUAGGUAAGGUAAUGGCUUACCUAGGCGACGAUCCCUAGCUGGUCUGAGAGGAUGAUCAGCCACACUGGGACUGAGACACGGCCCAGACUCCUACGGGAGGCAGCAGUGGGGAAUAUUGCACAAGGGGCGCAAGCCUGAUGCAGCCAUGCCGCGUGUAUGAAGAAGGCCCUAGGGUUGUAAAGUGCUUUCAGUUAGGAAGCGGUACCAACAGAAGAAGUGACGGCUAAAUACGUGCCAGCAGCCGCGGUAAUAC
rnacentral:rRNA from 1 species